rnacentral:misc_RNA from 1 species
GAUGAAGAACGUAGCGAAAUGCGAUAAGUAAUGUGAAUUGCAGAAUUCAGUGAAUCAUCGAAUCUUUGAACGCAUAUUGCGCCCGCCAGUAUUCUGGCGGGCAUGCCUGUUCGAGCGUCAUUUCAACCAUCAAGCCCCAGGCUUGUGUUGGGGACCUGCGGCUGCCGCAGGCCCUGAAAACCAGUGGCGGGCUCGCUGUCACACCGGGCGUAGUAGAUUUUAUCUCGCUCAGGGCGUGCUGCGGGUCCCGGCCGUUAAAAGCCUUUUUUUACCCAAGGUUGACCUCGGAUCAGGUAGGAAGACCCGCUGAACUUAAGCAUAUCAAUAAGCGGAGGA